rnacentral:misc_RNA from 1 species
AAGAAUGAAUGGGUGAUUUGCAGGGUGUUUCAAAAGAGUUCUGGUGGGAAGAAGACCCAUAUUUCAGGCCUAGUGAGAUUAGGCUCUUUUGGCAGUGAAUUGGGUCCUUCUGGUCUACCACCAUUGAUGGAUUCUUCACCUUAUAGUAGCAAGACAAAACCUUUGGCUGAAUCUGCCUACGUGCCCUGCUUCUCCAAUUCCACUGAUGUUCAAAGAAAUCAACAAGAAUCCAUUGAUGGUUUCAACAACAAUCCUUUUGCAGUUUCUUCUAGCCCUGCGGAUAUUUAUCCACGAAUUCCACUUCCGAAUUCAUUCUACCCUGCUCAAACAGUCCCAUUCCCAGCAAAUAUGCAGUACCCAGGUUCUGUUUUAAUGCAAGACCAGUCAAUAUUAAGGGCUCUG